rnacentral:tRNA from 1 species
GAGGGUAGAGCUCAGUGGUAGAGCACAUGCUUAACAUGCACGAGGUCCUGGGUUCUAUCCCCAGUACCUCCA